rnacentral:sRNA from 1 species
UGUCUUCAAACAAUGGACUGCCACUUUUCAUCAGGAUCAGACGCCUUGACCUACUGAGCUUAGAAGGCCUCUCUGUGCUCCCAUCCACAACUGCCUCCAAGCCAAGUUCAAGCUCACGGCCGGCUAGAUGCAGCCUGCCGCCCUGCUCCAUUUUCAGCUUUUCCACGGCAUCCGGCAGCACCUGAGUGUCCGAGAGCCUGAGAACCAGAACGGCGCCAGCCUCGCCACAGACCCAGGGACCCAUGAGGCAGCUCCAGCUGUUCCACUCCUCAGACCGCAUUUUCCUACCUCCAAAACGGUGUCCGGCCUGAUGACAGCGUGGGAUUCGAUUACUGGAACUCUGAGCUUCCCUACAGUAGUUGGGAAAUAAAGCCACGGAUAAGGGCCAACAAAAUGACUGAUGAAGAGACCUUCAAGGAAUCCAGAUACUGGAACUGUUAUGGGAACAUUGGAAAGCAGCAGUAUCUUGGUGAUAAGCACAGAGGCCAUGCUUGUGGUAGGGUCAUAGACUGAAUGGGGAAAAGGAAGCCAAGUACCAGAGUUCAUCUCUCUGCCUGCUUCCUGACUGAGGAUACCACGUGACCCGCUUACUCUUAUUCCUGCCUCCCUGACCUUCUGCUACAAUGGACGUCGGGCUGUGAGACAAAAAAUCAACCUUUCCUUGAGUUACACUUGUAAGUAGUAUGAUGUCAUGUCUACUCCAGUGAGUAAACAAAGCCUUAGCCACCUCUGCUCGUCCUCCUGCAAAGAGGGAGAAGAGGAGCCACUAACAAGCAUCUGGUAGACCUGCAUUUGAUCCCAGGCCCCCACUGACCAGCUCUUGGCCUUAGGGAAAUACUCUAUAAAAUUAGCAGUCGGUGUGUUGGGUACUCAUACGAUGUACAUAGACGGUGUCUUAAUUUGGUUUCUGUUACUGAGAUAAAUCCAUGAGUAGAAGCAUCUGGGGGAGGAAAGGGUUAAUCUGGCUUAUACAUACCAAUCCCAGUCCAUUACUGGGGGGGAACUCAAGCAGGAGCAGAGGUGGUCACCGAGGCUUGUUCUUCACUUCCGCUUACCUAGUUUCCUUGUGCAACAGAGGACCACCUGCCUAGCAGCAGCACCACCCACAGUGUGCCAGGACCAGCUCCAUCAAGAGGAUGUCUCCACGGACAUGCCCACAGGCUAAUCUGAUGGCGGCAGUUCCUCGGUUGCCACAGAGCAACCCAGAGCAGGUUGACAAACAAGAUUAACUAGUGUUUGCCUGUGUUAUUAAUACACAUGAUUGUCUGUGUGUGUGUUACACGUGCUCACGAUUAAAACACACUUGAAAUGAUCAA